rnacentral:rRNA from 1 species
GGAAGGGGUGUAUUUAUUAGAUAAAAAACCAAUGCCCUUCGGGGCUCCUUGGUGAAUCAUAAUAACUUAACGAAUCGCAUGGCCUUGCGCCGGCGAUGGUUCAUUCAAAUUUCUGCCCUAUCAACUUUCGAUGGUAGGAUAGUGGCCUACCAUGGUGGCAACAGGUAACGGGGAAUUAGGGUUCGAUUCCGGAGAGGGAGCCUGAGAAACGGCUACCACAUCCAAGGAAGGCAGCAGGCGCGCAAAUUACCCAAUCCCGACACGGGGAGGUAGUGACAAUAAAUACUGAUACGGGGCUCUUUUGGGUCUCGUAAUUGGAAUGAGUACAAUCUAAAUCCCUUAACGAGGAACAAUUGGAGGGCAAGUCUGGUGCCAGCAGCCGCGGUAAUUCCAGCUCCAAUAGCGUAUAUUAAAGUUGUUGCAGUUAAAAAGCUCGUAGUUGAACCUUGGGUCUGGCUGGCCGGUCCGCCUCACCGCGAGUACUGGUCCGGCUGGACCUUUCCUUCUGGGGAAUCUCAUGGCCUUCACUGGCUGUGGGGGGAACCAGGACUUUUAC